CUCUGCCAUCAUGCGAUAUUUCUUUUUCUUUUAGGAUCAUUUGUCUGGACUAGGCCAUCAUUACACUUUGUCAUAUAUAUUCCACGGAAGAAACAAAUGCCCCUUCAUAUCCACUCCUCAGAUGGUGAACCCACUGAAACAAACAGCUUCUUAGUCCCACGUUGGGGUGGGGUGAUGAUUCACAACAUACCACUGGCUAAAGGAAAUGCAUCAUUUCCUCAUUAUGUGACACUAGACUCCCACUGGAUCAUGAGCACUGUCCUUACUCAUCUUCACAGAUUAUUGCCUAUACCAUCUCUGAAAGAAACAGAAGGUUUAAAGAUUUGCCUUCACUGGACACUUGCCUAUUGACUGAAUGGCAGCUUGAUGGUUUAGCUCGGGCCAGAGUGUCUUACUACUUGUCCAACAUUCACAUUACAUUGCAGUCCUUGUGCGAGUUAGUUGGAGAGAUCAGCAACAUGGUAAUAAGCGAUGAGGUGGGUGGGUGGG